CGACAGGCCUGUAACUGCAGAUGUAGCCAACACUAAAGCCACUUGCAGCAAGAAAAGCAACAAAUGUAAAUAAUAACAUUUCCAUAUGUAGCUCUAUAGCUCUGGGAAGGUUUCCGCCGAAAAUGGGGGUCUGCGGUCAGAGGAGGUUCGGUCGUCGACGAUCCGGAGAGAGCGGGGAGCAUCCAGCAAGGCAAGCCGACCAUCACUCGACAUAGAGCCGGCAGGAGGAGGACAAGGAGUCGGUGUGGGCGCCUUCGCAGCCGAAGAUGCUUCUUCGGUGGCUGGAGGGGCAGGAUGGUGCUGAUGCCGUCGCUGCUGUUGCUGCUCUGGUAUCCAAAUUCACCGUGGCAGUUUCACACUGAGGACGGUCCUGUUUGUAUAGUAGCCCUUGCGCCAUGUAAUAGAAAGAAAAAAUGAAAUCAGGCGAACGUUACGAUGUCCCUGUUUCCCCCUCCUCCUCCUCUUCCUCUGCUCCUUUCUCACCCUGCGCUCUCGGAUGCAGGUUUGGCCGCUUUGCAGAAAAAAAAGAAAGAAAUCUAUAUUACACAAUCAGGAGAGUGAGUCGCACAGAUCCACAGUCAGCGCUGUUGUCACGAUGUCAGUGUGAGCGGCUCUGCACUUUCAUACAGUCUUUCUUUCUCUUUGCACUGAUGCCGAGUGAUGUCAGAGUAAAGAAGCUGCUCUUUAUUCGGCAGGUUAGUUUUCUUAUUCUUUCUCUUCACCAGCGACGUUUAAAGGCCUCACAGUGUGUGUGAGUGUGUGACUGUAUGUGUGUGUAUGUGUUCUCUGCGCUGCAGCAAUGGGGGGCUCGUUGCUGGAAAGAUAUGAAAGAUUUUUUAAUUCCGUUUCUGUGAGUGGUGGAGGGGGCGGAACGAGGGGGAUGUAGAGAUGGUGGACUCUCUCCAUCUCUGUGUCUCACUCUUUUUUCUUAAAUGGUGGAUUACUGAAUUGCACUUGUGUGCACAGACUGAGAUUUACGCAUUUAUUGGCUCAUUAAUAUUGACCGAUCCAAUUGUUGCAGCGCUCUCUCUCUUGUACCCGGCCCUCAAGUCAUCCCACCAAAUUUCCGACUUCACUUAUCUUUCUGUUGCCCGCUCUUGUCUUGAGAAGCUGCAUUUUUUUAGGUUACGGAAAACGGCUUCGAAGGCAGACAUCUAUGCUCUGAUUAAACGAUUCUCCAUGGAUGACAAUUAGCAACGGAGAUGAACGACACUCCGGCUAAAGCAAGAUGCUAAUUUAAAUCAAGUUGUGGGUUUUUAAUGCCUUCUCUCUGCAUUAAAUUCACAUAUAUGCCAUUUUAAAGUCAGACACCUGUGUCAGUGAUGUUCUGUUAGAGAUAUGAGUGAAGCGGUGGUGCUGAAAGGACAGCUCCCUCCAGCUCCGCGACGCCUCUGUGGAGUUGGUCGCCCCCUGCUGGUAAAACGUGUUUAUUUCAACCUAUAAAAACUCAAAAUACACACGGUCAACUUCUACGCCCCUCUAUAAUAGUAGUUAAGCUACAAACACAUCAAUGUAGAAAUACUCCAGUGGAAGUCAGGAACCUGCAACCUGAAGUUGAAUCAGUAAGUCAAAUGAGGAAAGCGAUUCUUGAGGCUUCCAGACAAUUUAUGCUGAAUUAAAUAAGUAUUUCAUAACUGGAUGUGACAAUUAAAUACAAGGACAAAUUUUCUUAUAAUAGUCUUUAUUCAUAAGUUCACCAGAGUGUUUUUGAAUAUUGAAUGUUUACAAUUUAAAGUCCAGACUAAAUAAUCCUUAAAAUGAUUGAUUUAUCUAAAUGUAAAAGUUACUAAAAUAAAUAUCUGAAACUUUUUUUUCCAUAUUAACAUGAUAAAGCCAACUGUAAAAUGCAUUGUCUACCUAUGUAUAGUUUCUAAUUAUUUUUCAUGUUUACCAGUUGAUAGUAUUUCAGCCAUUUUCAUUUAAUGCUGUUUGUAAAUGCUGUUAAAAAAGGUGUCUUUAAAAAUGUUCUCACACAUAUUAAGGUACAUAAGGUACCACAGAAUGGUACUGCUAGCAUAACAUGAAAAUAUCCUCAUAAAGUGAAGGUACUUCAGUUUAGGUACAGUAGGGGAAUAAUGUUACUGAAUAGUCAGGACAGCAACACGAGGGGCCUGUGCAAAAACCUUAAAACCUGAUAUUAGAUUCUCUUUACAAAAAACAGAUUUAUAUACGUUCCCUGUGCUAGUUUAACAGCAAUAUGUCAGUUUAUGCACAGAUGUUGCUUAAACAAAAUGAGAAGUUAUGGGGUAUGUGUUUACACUAGUUACUCCAUGAGACAGUUUUUCUGCAGAGUCCUUUGUUUUAAAAUGUAUUUUGCUGAUGGCUACUUCAGCCAGAUGUUAGAUCUCUAACACAAUGAGAAAUAUAUUUAAUUAAGCACCCUAAUAUUUGUGGUUCCUGCUGUACACAAUCUGUAAAAUUGACAAUAAUUACAUUCUGUAAUUUACUAACAACUGAUUUAAAUGGUUUUAUUGAAGUAUUACUGUAGUAAUUUCAUUUUAUUUUACUUUCCACUGCUACUCAAUAUUUUCUCAAUUUUUUUUUUAUUAUUCUCAAUUUGUAUGUGUUAUUAAAAUACUUACUGGACUGUAUUUAUAUGUCAGUUUUACUAUACAGAAUAAACUGAAACUGUGGAACUUUUCCUCCUUUUAUUGGUAUUUGAUUAUUUUAGAACUAUUUUUCUUUAUGUUUUUGAGAGUUCAGAAACUAAAGCAAAGGUGUGAAGUCUUCCUUUACCUGAGAUAAUGCUUCCUGUGGGCGGAGCUGCAGACUCUACAUAAGGAACCAGCUCACCUGGGCAGAGUUUUAAAACAUGGACACCUGGCCAGCCACGCAUGGAUGCAUCCUUCGAUGCUGUUUGGAUUGUGUAAAUUUAACAUGCGCUUGCUUUGUUUGUAGUUAUUGUCUGAGUAAAGCUUCAGAAAUGGUUUGGCUAUUAGAUACUGUAUUUCCAUAACUGUAUUGUGUGCUUGUCAUUCUUUUUCUGCUCUAUAUCUGAUUAAAAGAAGGGAUUUGAGAGCCCUGACAUUUG